AGUGGCCGGGAACGCUGUGUCAGUCGAUCAUCGCAUGCUGCCGUAGUUGCCCCCCGCCACG
rnacentral:ncRNA from 1 species